GGUUAAGCGACUAAGCGUACACGGUGGAUGCCCUGGCAGUCAGAGGCGAUGAAGGACGUGCUAAUCUGCGAAAAGCGCCGGCGAGGUGAUAUGAACCUUUGACCCGGCGAUGUCCGAAUGGGGAAACCCAGUGCAAUCCGUUGCACUAUCGUUAACUGAAUACAUAGGUUAACGAGGCGAACCGGGGGAACUGAAACAUCUAAGUACCCCGAGGAAAAGAAAUCAACCGAGAUUCCCCCAGUAGCGGCGAGCGAACGGGGAGCAGCCCGGAGUCUGAAUCAGCUUGUGUGUUAGUGGAACGGUCUGGAAAGUCCGACGGUACAGGGUGAUAGUCCCGUACACGAAAGCACACUUGCUGUGAACUCGAAGAGUAGGGCGGGACACGUGGUAUCCUGUCUGAAUAUGGGGGGACCAUCCUCCAAGGCUAAAUACUCCUGACUGACCGAUAGUGAACCAGUACCGUGAGGGAAAGGCGAAAAGAACCCCGGCGAGGGGAGUGAAAAAGAACCUGAAACCGUGUACGUACAAGCAGUGGGAGCCUCUUUAUGGGGUGACUGCGUACCUUUUGUAUAAUGGGUCAGCGACUUAUAUUCUGUAGCAAGGUUAACCGUAUAGGGGAGCCGAAGGGAAACCGAGUCUUAACUGGGCGUUAAGUUGCAGGGUAUAGACCCGAAACCCGGUGAUCUAGCCAUGGGCAGGUUGAAGGUUGGGUAACACUAACUGGAGGACCGAACCGACUAAUGUUGAAAAAUUAGCGGAUGACCUGUGGCUGGGGGUGAAAGGCCAAUCAAACCGGGAGAUAGCUGGUUCUCCCCGAAAGCUAUUUAGGUAGCGCCUCGUGAACUCAUCUUCGGGGGUAGAGCACUGUUUCGGCUAGGGGGCCAUCCCGGCUUACCAACCCGAUGCAAACUACGAAUACCGAAGAAUGUUAUCACGGGAGACACACGGCGGGUGCUAACGUCCGUCGUGAAGAGGGAAACAACCCAGACCGCCAGCUAAGGUCCCAAAGUCAUGGUUAAGUGGGAAACGAUGUGGGAAGGCACAGACAGCCAGGAUGUUGGCUUAGAAGCAGCCAUCAUUUAAAGAAAGCGUAAUAGCUCACUGGUCGAGUCGGCCUGCGCGGAAGAUGUAACGGGGCUAAACCAUGCACCGAAGCUGCGGCAGCGACGCUUAGGCGUUGUUGGGUAGGGGAGCGUUCUGUAAGCCGUUGAAGGUGUCCUGUGAGGGGUGCUGGAGGUAUCAGAAGUGCGAAUGCUGACAUAAGUAACGAUAAAGCGGGUGAAAAGCCCGCUCGCCGGAAGACCAAGGGUUCCUGUCCAACGUUAAUCGGGGCAGGGUGAGUCGACCCCUAAGGCGAGGCCGAAAGGCGUAGUCGAUGGGAAACAGGUUAAUAUUCCUGUACUUGGUGUUACUGCGAAGGGGGGACGGAGAAGGCUAUGUCAGCCGGGCGACGGUUGUCCCGGUUUAAGCAUGUAGGCGGAGGUUCCAGGUAAAUCCGGUACCUUGUUAACGCUGAGGUGUGAUGACGAGGCACUACGGUGCUGAAGUGAUAAAUGCCCUGCUUCCAGGAAAAGCCUCUAAGCAUCAGGUAACACGAAAUCGUACCCCAAACCGACACAGGUGGUCAGGUAGAGAAUACCAAGGCGCUUGAGAGAACUCGGGUGAAGGAACUAGGCAAAAUGGUGCCGUAACUUCGGGAGAAGGCACGCUGAUAUGUAGGUGAAGUCCCUGCGGACGGAGCUGAAAUCAGUCGAAGAUACCAGCUGGCUGCAACUGUUUAUUAAAAACACAGCACUGUGCAAACACGAAAGUGGACGUAUACGGUGUGACGCCUGCCCGGUGCCGGAAGGUUAAUUGAUGGGGUUAGCGGCAACGCGAAGCUCUUGAUCGAAGCCCCGGUAAACGGCGGCCGUAACUAUAACGGUCCUAAGGUAGCGAAAUUCCUUGUCGGGUAAGUUCCGACCUGCACGAAUGGCGUAAUGAUGGCCAGGCUGUCUCCACCCGAGACUCAGUGAAAUUGAACUCGCUGUGAAGAUGCAGUGUACCCGCGGCAAGACGGAAAGACCCCGUGAACCUUUACUAUAGCUUGACACUGAACACUGGUCCUUGAUGUGUAGGAUAGGUGGGAGGCUUUGAAGCGUGGACGCCAGUCUGCGUGGAGCCAACCUUGAAAUACCACCCUUUAAUGGCUGGUGUUCUAACGUAGACCCGUAAUCCGGGUUGCGGACAGUGUCUGGUGGGUAGUUUGACUGGGGCGGUCUCCUCCCAAAGAGUAACGGAGGAGCACGAAGGUUGGCUAAUCCUGGUCGGACAUCAGGAGGUUAGUGCAAUGGCAUAAGCCAGCUUGACUGCGAGCGUGACGGCGCGAGCAGGUGCGAAAGCAGGUCAUAGUGAUCCGGUGGUUCUGAAUGGAAGGGCCAUCGCUCAACGGAUAAAAGGUACUCCGGGGAUAACAGGCUGAUACCGCCCAAGAGUUCAUAUCGACGGCGGUGUUUGGCACCUCGAUGUCGGCUCAUCACAUCCUGGGGCUGAAGUAGGUCCCAAGGGUAUGGCUGUUCGCCAUUUAAAGUGGUACGCGAGCUGGGUUUAGAACGUCGUGAGACAGUUCGGUCCCUAUCUGCCGUGGGCGCUGGAGAAUUGAGGGGGGCUGCUCCUAGUACGAGAGGACCGGAGUGGACGCAUCACUGGUGUUCGGGUUGUCAUGCCAAUGGCACUGCCCGGUAGCUAAAUGCGGAAGAGAUAAGUGCUGAAAGCAUCUAAGCACGAAACUUGCCCCGAGAUGAGUUCUCCCUGAGACUUUAAGUCUCCUGAAGGAACGUUGAAGACGACGACGUUGAUAGGUCGGGUGUGUAAGCGCAGCGAUGCGUUGAGCUAACCGAUACUAAUGAACCGUGAGGCUUAACCUU
rnacentral:rRNA from 1 species